CCUACGGGGGGCAGCAGUGGGGGAUAUUGCACAAUGGGGGGAACCCUGAUGCAGCGACGCCGCGUGGGUGAAGAAGCGCCUCGGCGCGUAAAGCCCUGUCAGCAGGGAAGAAAAUGACGGUACCUGAAGAAGAAGCCCCGGCUAACUACGUGCCAGCAGCCGCGGUAAUGCGUAGGGGGCAAGCGUUAUCCGGAUUUACUGGGUGUAAAGGGGGCGCAGACGGCGAUGCAAGCCAGGAGUGAAAGCCCGGGGGCCAACCCCGGGACUGCUCUUGGAACUGCGUGGCUGGAGUGCAGGAGGGGCAGGCGGAAUGCCUGGUGUAGCGGUGAAAUGCGUAGAUAUCAGGAGGAACACCGGUGGCGAAGGCGGCCUGCUGGACUGCAACUGACGUUGAGGCCCGAAAGCGUGGGGAGCAAACAGGAUUAGAUACCCUGGUAGUC
rnacentral:rRNA from 1 species